UCUUCCAUUCAUCUGACCUAAUUCAUCAGCAACUGUUCCUCUUCUUCUCACCUACCUUCUCCCUCAUCUCAUCUCUCUCACCUACCUUCAUCUCCCUCAUGUUUCGCAUCUCAUCUCUCACAUUCCUUCACGCUCAUCUCUCACCUUAAUUACGUCAUCUAUCUCGUCUCCUUCCACUUGCAAAUCUACGAAGGAACACCCCACCUUCCUUCAUCUCGUCUCUCCUUCCACCUGCAAAUCUACGAAGGGCGCCAAAAGUGAAGGCAUCUCUCUCAACUCUCCGUCGCAUCAAGCACUGAGCGAUAAUCCCUAGUUCGUCUCUCUUUCUCUCCUUCACCUAGUGAGUCUAAUUCCAGAUUUAAUCGCUCUGCUAAAAGAAAAACCCCAUCUCUUAAUUUGAGAAAAGAUGAAUUGGAAAAACGUUUAAGAGAUAGAAUGCUUACUCAACAGCAACUCAAUGAAAUUGAAGCAUCCAGCAACGAAAUUGAAGUAGCCAGCAACGAAAUUGAAGCAGCGAGCAACGAAAGGACAACACUUUCCUCAGAUCUAAAGGUUGCAUAGUGGAUGAGUUCUUAUAUUAGUUGAAUUUUGUUUUAGUUUAUAUUAGUUACAUUUUGUUUUUUCUGUUUCUCCUAAUGUAUCAAAAAAAAAUCCAGAAUUCCAGAGCGUUAAGUAGCGAGUAGUGCAAUGAAUUUAUUUUUUUAUUUUUUUAGUUUAUUUUUCAUUUUUUAGGUUUGGGUACUCCUUUAUAUUUUUUGUACACAUAAAUUCCAGAACAUUAAUUGAUCCUUGUUUUA